ACCCCAGGUCAGGCGGGACUACCCGCUGAAUUUAAGCAUAUCAAUAAGCGGAGGAAAAGAAACUUACRAGGAUUCCCUUAGUAACGGCGAGCGAACCGG
rnacentral:rRNA from 1 species